rnacentral:rRNA from 1 species
GUAAUGUACUCUUUCUUCGGAACACUCGGUGACAGGUGGUGCAUGGUUGUCGUCAGCUCGUGUCGUGAGAUGUUGGGUUAAGUCCCGCAACAGAGCGCAACCCCUGUCCUUAGUAGCCAGCAGUUCGGCUGGGCACUCUAGGGAGACUGCCAGGGAUAACCUGGAGGAAGGCGGGGAUGACGUCAAAUCAUCAUGCCCCUUAUGACUUGGGCUACACACGUGCUACAAUGGCGUAAACAAAGGGAAGCGAAAAGGUGACUUCUAGCAAAUCCCAAAAAUAACGUCCCAGUUCGGACUGUAGUCUGCAACUCGACUACACGAAGCUGGAAUCGCUAGUAAUCGCGAAUCAGAAUGUCGCGGUGAAUACGUUCCCGGGUCUUGUACACACCGA